rnacentral:tRNA from 1 species
GCCUGGGUGGCUCAGUCGAUUAAGCAUCUGACUUCGGAUCAGGUCAUGAUCCCAUGGUGUGUGAGUUCAAGUCCCAUGUUGGGCU